GACGAACGCUGGCGGCGUGCUUAACACAUGCAAGUCGAACGGAAAGGCCCUGCUUUUGUGGGGUGCUCGAGUGGCGAACGGGUGAGUAACACGUGAGUAACCUGCCCUUGACUUUGGGAUAACUUCAGGAAACUGGGGCUAAUACCGGAUAGGAGCUCCUGCUGCAUGGUGGGGGUUGGAAAGUUUCGGCGGGUGGGGAUGGACUCGCGGCUUAUCAGCUUGUUGGUGGGGUAGUGGCUUACCAAGGCUUUGACGGGUAGCCGGCCUGAGAGGGUGACCGGCCACAUUGGGACUGAGGUACGGCCCAGACUCCUACGGGAGGCAGCAGUGGGGAAUAUUGCACAAUGGGCGGAAGCCUGAUGCAGCAACGUCGCGUGCGGGAUGACGGCCUUCGGGGUAUAAACCGCUUUCGCCUGUGACGAAGCGUGAGUGACGGUAAUGGGUAAAGAAGCACCGGCUAACUACGUG
rnacentral:rRNA from 1 species